GACGAACGCUUGCGGCGUGCUUAACACAUGCAAGUCGAACGGAAAGGCCCUGCUUUUGUGGGGUGCUCGAGUGGCGAACGGGUGAGUAACACGUGAGUAACCUGCCCUUGACUUUGGGAUAACUUCAGGAAACUGGGGCUAAUACCGGAUAGGAGCUCCUGCUGCAUGGUGGGGGUUGGAAAGUUUCGGCGGUUGGGGAUGGACUCGCGGCUUAUCAGCUUGUUGGUGGGGUAGUGGCUUACCAAGGCUUUGACGGGUAGCCGGCCUGAGAGGGUGACCGGCCACAUUGGGACUGAGAUACGGCCCAGACUCCUACGGGAGGCAGCAGUGGGGAAUAUUGCACAAUGGGCGGAAGCCUGAUGCAGCAACGCCGCGUGCGGGAUGACGGCCUUCGGGUUGUAAACCGCUUUCGCCUGUGACGAAGCGUGAGUGACGGUAAUGGGUAAAGAAGCACCGGCUAACUACGUGCCAGCAGCCGCGGUGAUACGUAGGGUGCGAGCGUUGUCCGGAUUUAUUGGGCGUAAAGGGCUCGUAGGUGGUUGAUCGCGUCGGAAGUGUAAUCUUGGGGCUUAACCCUGAGCGUGCUUUCGAUACGGGUUGACUUGAGGAAGGUAGGGGAGAAUGGAAUUCCUGGUGGAGCGGUGGAAUGCGCAGAUAUCAGGAGGAACACCAGUGGCGAAGGCGGUUCUCUGGGCCUUUCCUGACGCUGAGGAGCGAAAGCGUGGGGAGCGAACAGGCUUAGAUACCCUGGUAGUCCGCGCUGUAAACGGUGGGUACUAGGUGUGGGGUCCAUUCCACGGGUUCCGUGCCGUAGCUAACGCUUUAAGUACCCCGCCUGGGGAGUACGGCCGCAAGGCUAAAACUCAAAGGAAUUGACGGGGCCCCGCACAAGCGGCGGAGCAUGCGGAUUAAUUCGAUGCAACGCGUAGAACCUUACCUGGGUUUGACAUGGAUCGGGAGUGCUCAGAGAUGGGUGUGCCUCUUUUGGGGUCGGUUCACAGGUGGUGCAUGCCUGUCGUCAGCUCGUGUCGUGAGAUGUUGGGUUAAGUCCCGCAACGAGCGCAACCCUUGUUCACUGUUGCCAGCACGUUAUGGUGGGGACUCAGUGGAGACCGCCGGGGUCAACUCGGAGGAAGGUGGGGAUGACGUCAAGUCCUCAUGCCCCUUAUGUCCAGGGCUUCACGCAUGCUACAAUGGCUGGUACAGAGAGUGGCGAGCCUGUGAGGGUGAGCGAAUCUCGGAAAGCCGGUCUCAGUUCGGAUUGGGGUCUGCAACUCGACCUCAUGAAGUCGGAGUCGCUAGUAAUCGCAGAUCAGCAACGCUGCGGUGAAUACGUUCCCGGG
rnacentral:rRNA from 1 species